rnacentral:lncRNA from 1 species
CUGAGAAUGGCUCACAGAAUUUUGUGGACACUCAAGACUGUUGGUGGAAGAAGCUAGUGAAUUAAUUGUGGCAUCUGUCUAUAAUGAUACAAGGACUGUAAUUGGACACAAGAUUACAGCAAAAAGCCAGUCAACAGACAUGAUAUCGUCGGUAUCGUGGUUUGUUAGCUGCAGAAGUAGUCUAGCUUUUCUGCAUUAUGCCAUCGUUUUUUGACUUGAUGCAAAAUAACCCUGGA